ensembl:lncRNA
AUAUAUAUAUAAAAUAAUCUCCAACAGUUCAUACAAGUACAUGUUAAUUCAUUGACAACUUCUUGUUUACUGUUCAAAAUACAAUUACCAAUGCAGGAUAGACUCUUACAGUUUUUUUCAAUCGCUAACAAGCGUUUGUCCAAACAGUUGUCACAUUUUCAAAACUCUAAACACAAUUAGCACAGCAUCGGUGUUUUGUGGCCAUGCCAUUCACACAUUUCAUGUCGUUUUCACACAAUAUGCAGUCAGUGAACACAUGUCCACAAUGCUUGCAUUUUCCUUAACAGACAAGCCAUACCUCCCAACAAAACGAUGGAUUGUUUUAGUAGUAUUCACAAAUGUUAACACACACCAUCCCACAAUAGCAAAAACAAUAUUCCAAACCGUAGAUACAGUAUAAAAACCUCUGCUUCUGCAAUGAUAUCAGUUCAAAAACAAUAUAUCUCAGCUGAUAAUGAACAAACUAUUGAAUUAUUGACAGCUGAUUUAUGUUGGGUAAAUUGGGCCAACAACAGCUGAUUCCAGUCUGGCUUAUUUAAGGAGGACUUUGAGGAGUGAUGUUUUUGGAAACAGAAAAAGACAAACACUGUAAUGUCUGGACGAGGAAGAGGAAGAGCAAGGGGCCCAGGGAGAAGACCAGGUCCAGUGAGAGGUGCAGAAGGAGGUGCAGGUGCAGGAAGAGGAGCAGUGAGAGGAAGAGUAAGAGGUGCAGGUCCAGUGAGCGAUGUAGAAGGAGGUGCAGGAAGAGGAGCAGGUGCAGGAAGAGGAGUUCUUUUCUGCAUGGAGGUGGAAGGUUUAUGACCAUCAGCCACGUGACCAGAUGUCCCUCCUUGAAGCCAUGGAUGCUGGCUGCAGGGACAUCACAGUUCAAGAUUGCCAAGGGUGGAUCCGACAUGCCAAGCGGUUUGAUCCCAGGUGCAUCGCCUUAGAUGAUGUCAGAUGUGAUGUUGACAAAAACAUGUGGCCGAACCCUGAAGAUCGCAGGGAUUAGAUGCAUACAUUGUUUGCCAUUUCAGUUCCCCCCUUUUCAUCUGGGCUUUUGGCUGUUUUUGCUCGUGUGUUUCAUGGAUAUUUUGUUAAAAUAAAAUAAACCUUUUCUGUUCUAUUAUACUGUUUCUACUGUACCUUCUUUGGUAAACAGUUAAGAAAAAAUAACUGAUUUGCUUUUUACUGGAAUGCGUUUGAAUGUGAACAUUACUGUACAUGUGCACAUGCAGUUCCAAACCAAUAAAUUUAGUGUAAAUGGUGGAUUGCAUGUUACCUGAAACAUAAAAGUCUAUGCAAUUUUUAUAAUGUCAACAAUAGCCAGAAUUUUGAAACCUGGUGUACUUCGUUUGACUGCAUGUACCUUGUCAAGUGAAAACAAAUGUUAUUCUUUGACAGAAUAAUUUCAUUUUGAAUCAGAUUUCCAGUGUUUUGGUAAAGUUAGUGUGUGCAGAGAAAGAUGUGUUCUGUUUUGAAAUUAAGAGUUAGUAUAUAUUUAACAAAAUGUGUUUUUAAAGAGAAAAUUAUCAAUUUGGCCAAUUGUGUCUUGUAGGUGUGAGUCUGUGUUAAGAGUUUAGAAAAAAUUUCUGAAGUAUGGGUAAGUGCUUGUUAGCGAUUGAAAAAAACUGCAAUACCCAACACGGGUUACACGUUAAUAUAUUUUGGUUUUACUGAAACGUGGCUAUCGAAUGGGGAAUAUUUCAUCUUAAACGAAGCGACUCCUCCAUGUUAAUCCUCAUAUUCCUUGAGAAACGGGUCGUGGGGGUGAAGUGGCAGCUAUUUAUGACUCCUGCCUUUUAAUAAACCUUAAACCUAAACUGGAUUAUAAGUCCUUUGAAAGCCUGGUUCUCAGUCCCUCGCAGCCAACCUGGAAAACAAUCCAGCCGGUUUGUAAUAAUUCUGAAUUUUUAUCUGAAUUUUCACAGUUCUUAACCAGUUUGGUCCUUAAAACGGACAAGGUAAUCAUUGUAU